GACGAACGCUGGCGGCGUGCCUAACACAUGCAAGUCGAACGGAGUGUUUCGCUGAUUUGAAGGUAGCUUGCUACUGAAUUUUCUUGAGACACUUAGUGGCGGACGGGUGAGUAACGCGUGAGCAACCUGCCUUUCAGAGGGGGGACAACAGUUGGAAACGACUGCUAAUACCGCAUGAUGUAUCUUGUAGGCAUCUACGAGAUACCAAAGAUUUAUCGCUGAAAGAUGGGCUCGCGUCCGAUUAGGUAGUUGGUGAGGUAACGGCUCACCAAGCCGACGAUCGGUAGCCGGACUGAGAGGUUGAACGGCCACAUUGGGACUGAGACACGGCCCAGACUCCUACGGGAGGCAGCAGUGGGGGAGUAUUGCACAAUGGGGGAAACCCUGAUGCAGCAACGCCGCGUGAGGGAAGAAGGUUUUCGGAUUGUAAACCUCUGUUGAUAGGGAAGAAGAAAGUGACGGUACCUAUCGAGGAAGUCACGGCUAACUACGUGCCAGCAG
rnacentral:rRNA from 1 species